CUCUCCUCUCUCCUCUCUCCUCUCUUUGUCCUCUGAUCUUCCCAGCCACCACUCUCUCGCCUCAUGAAACCCUAACUCGCUCUCUCAAACGUCCACUCUCAUUUUCUUCGAUCUUCGUCCCCUCUAAAUUCCUUGUCACUAAAUCCCUCAUUUCUCAUCCUCUCAUUCAAGUGAUCGGAUUUUUCGCAGACCCAGCACAAAAUGGACCAACAUCAAACAGGAUUAAGAUUGCUCCGUCGCCGUCAAGGUUUUCAGCCAUAGAUUUCUCCCUUCUCGAUUUCACUAUGGUCUGAUUUUGUCUCUCUUCUUCUCUAAUUUCUUGCUUUGUGAGUUUUUGUAGUGUGAGAAUCGAAUUCUAGGGUUUAUAUUUCGUGUUUGAGUAAUCAUGAACUAAUUAAUUUGCUGAAUUGCUUUGUUGGAGGCAUUUUUUUAUCUUAAUUUAAUGAAGUGAUUAUAAACUGAUUAAAAAUUCCGAUCAUGAACUGAGUAAAACAUUCUUAAAAAAAAAUGCUUUUUAAAAAUCAAUUCAAGUACUUCGACUUUGAAGAAUGUUCAGUUUUGCAAUUUUUUUGAUUUUUUCGAAUUAAUGGAAUUAGGGUACUUGAAUUGAUUUUUAUGAUAUGAUAGUAUUGCCCUAGAAUUCCAAUUUAGGAUGGUUGGGGUUUGUUGCUGGUGUUUGUUGACAAUUUGAGGACUUUUUUUCUUCUUCUUAAAAGCUGAAUUUUCUAGUUAUAUGUUUUAUGAGCUCUAUGCCUCUAUCUUCUUCAUUCAAUCAAAGUUGUGGUCUUUAAUUUUGUGGGAUUAAUUGGUAAUUCCUAUUUAGGUUGCCAUAAAGAAAGGUAUGCCGAUUUUAAGUUCAUGAUACACAUUUUUGUUCUAUUUAAUUUCUUACUCAUUGAAAUUUAAUCAUUUUUUUUCAAAUGGUACUAGUUUGGUCAUUAAUUAUUUUGAUUCAAUUUUUAAUAUACUAACUGUAUUUUGAGGUUUUGAAUUUGGUUAAAUGAAGAUUUUCAUUGGCAUGGAUUUGUCGUUUAACAAUAUAUAAAUCUUACUGAUCUUACGCUAAGGAUUUUUAGCAAAAGGAUACAUGUAUAACCUUUCUAUUGCUAAAACUAUUCAUAACUCUUCAGUCUUUUCUCCAACCUUGUAACUUGUGUUUAUGGUGUUGGUCUCUGUUUUUCGGUGUGCUUAUGUGAUUAGUGCCAUUUGUUACGUGGUAAAUUACGAAAAUUAAGUUUCAUUACCUUAUUUUCAAGUGACAAAGGAAUCCCUUAGGUUGCAGGUAGCUAUUUAAUGCUUAAAUUGAUUCAUAUGCUUACAUCUAAUCUUAAUGGUAAUUAGUUCUCUAACUCCUUAUGCCCCCCCCCCCCAAAAAAAAAAUGAGAUUCCAGAUGGUGAAUCUGCUUAUCACAAAUCUGGAAGAAAGCAACAACCAACAUUAGCAUUGCUUGGCCAUUUCUCAACAUUGUGACCACUGCUCUUGAAAAGAUGCGAAGUUUUAGUUACUUAACAAGAUUCAAGACGUAAAUGAGCUAUCAAGAUAAGAAAGAAAUGGCAUAAUCAAAACCUUUACUGAUAAGACUCGUGUUUCUUCAUUAGACAAUACAAACACAAGGCUGUAUAUAGCAAUGGUAGAGAUGUGUCAGAUAGUUAGCGACUGAGAUCAGCUGGUCACUUUAUUACUUCUAAAGUGUAGAAGUUGAACAUUAUACUUUUUUUUUUGUAAAAGUUUACUGCUAUGUCAUACUUCAUUUUUUUUGUAACAGAACGUUAUUCUAAAGUGUAGAGGUUGAACUAUUUCAUGGAGCUCAAGAUCUAAAGAAACUAGACUGUAUGCAAAGAUCAACAAGAAAGUUAUUGGAA